rnacentral:misc_RNA from 1 species
UCCGGUUUGUCACCGGCAGUCCCAUUAGAGUGCUCAACUGAAUGGUAGCAACUAAUGGCAAGGGUUGCGCUCGUUGCGGGACUUAACCCAACAUCUCACGACACGAGCUGACGACAGCCAUGCAGCACCUGUGUUACAGCUCCCUUUCGGGCACCAAUCCAUCUCUGGAAAGUUCUGUACAUGUCAAGACCAGGUAAGGUUUUUCGCGUUGCAUCGAAUUAAUCCACAUCAUCCACCGCUUGUGCGGGUCCCCGUCAAUUCCUUUGAGUUUUAACCUUGCGGCCGUACUCCCCAGGCGGUCAACUUCUCGCGUUAGCUACGCUACCAAGGAUUCAAACCCCCAACAGCUAGUUGACAUCGUUUAGGGCGUGGACUAC